UACAGAGGGUGCGAGCGUUAAUCGGAAUUACUGGGCGUAAAGCGUGCGUAGACGGUUAUUUAAGUCGGGUGUGAAAGCCCCGGGCUCAACCUGGGAAUUGCAUUCGAGACUGAAUAGCUAGGGUACGGUAGAGGGAAGUGGAAUUUCCGGUGUAGCGGUGAAAUGCGUAGAUAUCAGGAGGAACACCGGUGGCGAAGGCGACUACCUGGCCUGUUUCUUGACGCUGAGGCGCGAAAGCUAGGGGAGCAAACGGG
rnacentral:rRNA from 1 species